GACGAACGCUGGCGGCGUGCUUAACACAUGCAAGUCGAACGGAGAGGCCCUUCGGGGUACUCGAGUGGCGAACGGGUGAGUAACACGUGGGUGAUCUGCCCUGCACUUUGGGAUAAGCCUGGGAAACUGGGUCUAAUACCGAAUAGGACCACGCGCUUCAUGGUGUGUGGUGGAAAGCUUUUGCGGUGUGGGAUGGGCCCGCGGCCUAUCAGCUUGUUGGUGGGGUAAUGGCCUACCAAGGCGACGACGGGUAGCCGGCCUGAGAGGGUGACCGGCCACACUGGGACUGAGAUACGGCCCAGACUCCUACGGGAGACAGCAGUGGGGAAUAUUGCACAAUGGGCGCAAGCCUGAUGCAGCGACGCCGCGUGAGGGAUGACGGCCUUCGGGUUGUAAACCUCUUUCAAUAGGGACGAAGCGCAAGUGACGGUACCUAUAGAAGAAGCACCGGCCAACUACGUG
rnacentral:rRNA from 1 species